rnacentral:rRNA from 1 species
CCUACGGGAGGCAGCAGUGGGGAAUAUUGGACAAUGGGCGCAAGCCUGAUCCAGCCAUACCGCGUGUGUGAAGAAGGCCUUUUGGUUGUAAAGCACUUUAAGCGAGGAGGAGGCUCUUGAGGAUAAUACCCUUGAUGAGUGGACGUUACUCGCAGAAUAAGCACCGGCUAACUCUGUGCCAGCAGCCGCGGUAAUACAGAGGGUGCGAGCGUUAAUCGGAAUUACUGGGCGUAAAGCGCGCGUAGGCGGCUUGUUAAGUCGGAUGUGAAAUCCCCGGGCUCAACCUGGGCACUGCAUUCGAUACUGGCAAGCUAGAGUAUGGGAGAGGAAGGUAGAAUUCCAGGUGUAGCGGUGAAAUGCGUAGAGAUCUGGAGGAAUACCGAUGGCGAAGGCAGCCUUCUGGCCUAAUACUGACGCUGAGGUGCGAAAGCAUGGGGAGCAAACAGGAUUAGAUACCCUGGUAGUCCAUGCCGUAAACGAUGUCAACUAGCCGUUGGGGACCUUGAGUCUUUAGUGGCGCAGCUAACGCGANAAGUUGACCCGCCUGGGGAGUACGGUCGCAAGACUAAAACGUCAAAUAGAGUAGAGGCGNGAGAGNGCGACGGACGACACGAGGGAGGAGG